rnacentral:rRNA from 1 species
UACAGAGGGGGCAAGCGUUAUUCGGAAUUAUUGGGCGUAAAGAGCGUGUAGGCGGCCAGGUAGGUCUGCCGUGAAAACUCGAGGCUUAACCUCGAGCUGUCGGCGGAAACCAUCUGGCUAGAGUCCGGAAGAGGAGAAUGGAAUUCCCGGUGUAGCGGUGAAAUGCGCAGAUAUCGGGAAGAACACCCGUGGCGAAGGCGGUUCUCUGGGACGGUACUGACGCUGAGACGCGAAAGCGUGGGGAGCGAACAGG